rnacentral:sRNA from 1 species
UUGAAGAAUAUUCCGAUGCUUA